GUAGGUACUGACAUCACGCUUUCUAGGAAGACUCCUCUCACCACUGCUGGGGUUCAUUAAAGAGAAUGAAGGAAGCUGCUGGCUGUCUGCCCACACCAUUCUCUUCUUCCAAGGUUCCCUUGUUCAGUCCCACUGAACUGAAAUGCAGACAGUGGAAGACAUCCAGCUUUUACCAUGCAGAUGAUGAAAAUGUCACAGGAAAACUUGAGGUCUAAAUCAUCAUGAAGACCAGAACUUGACUGCUGACCUGGGCCAUCCACUUUGAAAUUGCUGCAUGAGUCCCAGAAGGUGAGAGGAGCAGCACACAAGACUGCAGCUCUUUAAUGGGCUGAAUUCCAAAACAAUGACUAGAGAGAUCCCCCGGGGAGGGUGCGCCCAGACCUGGUGAGCGCAUGUGCCCUUCUGGAUAGCACUGUCCCACAGUGACACAGCUGUCCCAACGAAGCCAACUGC